UCCACCUCACAAGUAGAACGUCUGCACACCAGCCUUUUUUUUUUGUUGCUCCUUUUAACUGUCAACUCCUGCUUUGCUCUCUCUUGUUCUCCGUCCCCGUCCUGCUUUCUGUGCUGUGCCGAGCUCGUCACUUUUGUCAGCGCUCGCUGGAGGUGAAGCGCAGAAGUCUGCUGAUGUGUAGCGAGGCCAUUGGUGGGUGUGACACUGUGAUACUGGUGUGGAGAGACGCAGCCGGCGGGCCGAUAGCGGGCUGAGAGGAGCGGUCCUGACAAAGAUGGAGGCCAGGAGGCAGGGCAUUCAGCAGAGAGGAGAGCUCAAAAAGGGCGAGGGAUGAACGAUCGUGGCAGACGCAGGAGAAGGAACCCCCUGACGACAUCGACCACGACCACGACGGACGAGACCCGGAAGACGAUGAGCCCCCGCAAUAGACGCAAACCCCGUACACCAACAGGUGCACUGCGACCGCAAGCAGGAAGCGCCCGCGCACUGAAAAGUGGUGCCACA